GCAUGCGUUCAUACUAGCACCAACGCGCCAAAUUUCAUCAGAACUCAGAAGUAAAGCAUGUUUGGACGAGAGUAAUACUAAAUUAGUAACCUCAGGAAAGUCCUCGUGUUGUAUUCC
rnacentral:rRNA from 1 species